GGCAUUUUGCACUUUUAAUGGGCUGAGGGUGAGACUUCUGCCCCCCCCCCCCCCCCCCCGCGGCUUCGGAGAGCCUCGACGAUCCAUCCGGUUGGCCGGCAGCUCGGCGGUCCCAGCAGCGGCAGGAUUGAACCACGGCCACGGCUGGGAUGACAGCCGGUCCCCGAAGAAGAAGGAGAGGAAGAAGAGGUUACGGAAGCCGGGCUCAAGGCUGUUGAAUGCUUCUCCCAAUCUACUGCUGUGUGGCACCAGUACCCUCACAAGCUGGUGCAAUAUACCACUUUCUCCCAGCCCAUCCCCGAUUGGCUACUUUCUGAUACCCAGACUGGACAAGGGCCUAUGUCCUCCCCCAGGCUUUCUCCUGACUCAGGGGCAAGCCCACCACUUGAAGAUUGGCAGAUGAUGCAAGUAAGAAGUUUCAAGUUUGGCCAGAGCUGUGCCCAACCCUGUGCUUGAGGCUCUGUACGAACACCCACGGACAAGUCUGCAAGCAGAUAUGAAGCUUCACGAUGAUGUGGUGACGUUGUGAUAUUGUCACUGGACUGCUAAUCCAAAGACUCAGGGUAAUGCGCUGGGG